GCAAGUCGAGCGAGAACGCUUUCUUCGGAACGUUAGUAGCGCGGCUCACGGGUGAGUAACGCGUGGGUAAUCUACCUUUGAGACUGGGAUAACAUCUGGAAACGACUGCUAGUACCGGAUAGUAUCUACAUUUAACUUGGUAGGUUAAAGAAGGCCUCUGAUUCAAGCUUUUACUUUAAGAUGAGCCCGCGUCUCAUUAGCUAGUUGGUAAGGUAACGGCUUACCAAGGCGACGAUGAGUAGCUGGUCUGAGAGGAUGACC
rnacentral:rRNA from 1 species